rnacentral:rRNA from 1 species
CUUGGUCAUUUAGAGGAAGUAAAAGUCGUAACAAGGUUUCCGUAGGUGAACCUGCGGAAGGAUCAUUACAAGUGAGGCUACCGAACGUUGGAAACAGCGGUUAGGAGCUUACACCCACCCGUGUUUACAUACUAUUGUUGCUUUGGCGGGCCGUGGCCUCCACUGCGGGCUCUGCUCGUGUGUGCCCGCCAGAGAACCAAACUCUGAAUGUUAGUGAUGUCUGAGUACUAUCUAAUAGUUAAAACUUUCAACAACGGAUCUCUUGGUUCUGGCAUCGAUGAAGAACGCGGCGAAAUGCGAUAAGUAAUGUGAAUUGCAGAAUUCAGUGAAUCAUCGAAUCUUUGAACGCACAUUGCGCCCUGUGGUAUUCCGCAGGGCAUGCCUGUUCGAGCGUCAUUUAACCACUCACGCCUAGCGUGGUAUUGGGGCACGCGGUCUCCGCGGCCCUCAAAAUUAGUGGCGGCGCCGGUGGGCUCUAAGCGUAGUACAUACUCCCGCUAUAGAGUUCCCCCCGGUGGCUCGCCAGAACCCCCAAUUUUUUACAGGUUGACCUCGGAUCAGGUAGGGAUACCCGCUGAACUUAAGCAUAUCAAUAAGCGGAGGA